UGCCCUGAAUCUUCCCCUGUGUUCUUGCCUGGGUGGAUAACCGGACCCAACUAAAGCUGUACACCCUUUUGCUAAAGUAUUAUUUACUCUCCACUGUAACAACUCCCUUCUGUGGAAAAGGGUAUUCAGGAAUCCUCCAAAAGAACCCAAGGAACUUUCUUGCCCUGAAUCUUCCCCUGUGUUCUUGCCUGGGUGGAUAACCGGACCCAACUAAAGCUGUACACCCUUUUGCUAAAGUAUUAUUUACUCUCCACUGUAACAACUCCCUUCUGUGGAAAAGGGUAUUCAGGAAUCCUCCAAAAGAACCCAAGGAACUUUCUUGCCCUGAAUCUUCCCCUGUGUUCUUGCCUGGGUGGAUAACCGGACCCAACUAAAGCUGUACACCCUUUUGCUAAAGUAUUAUUUACUCUCCACUGUAACAACUCCCUUCUAUGGAAAAGGGUAUUCAGGAAUCCUCCAAAAGAACCCAAGGAACUUUCUUGCCCUGAAUCUUCCCCUGUGUUCUUGCCUGGGUGGAUAACCGGACCCAACUAAAGCUGUACACCCUUUGCUAAAGUAUUAUUUACUCUCCACUGUAACAACUCCCUUCUGUGGAAAAGGGUAUUCAGGAAUCCUCCAAAAGAACCCAAGGAACUUUCUUGCCCUGAAUCUUCCCCUGUGUUCUUGCCUGGGUGGAUAACCGGACCCAACUAAAGCUGUACACCCUUUUGCUAAAGUAUUAUUUACUCUCCACUGUAACAACUCCCUUCUGUGGAAAAGGGUAUUCAGGAAUCCUCCAAAAGAACCCAAGGAAGUACGUGCAUCUGCUGCUAAGUCAUAUAUUACCAUACUCUUUUCUCUGCUAACUGUU